rnacentral:miRNA from 1 species
GAAAUGCCUCCAUGAGAUCCAGCUGUAAGGCAUUUUCCCAGUUAGUGAUCAGUGGGGGAGGGCCCAGUCCAUGGUGGGUGAUACCAUCUCAGGGCUGGUGGUCCU